CCGAGUUUACAACUCCCAAACCCCUGUGAACAUACCUACUUGUUGCCUCGGCGGAUCAGCCCGCUCCCGGUAAAACGGGACGGCCCGCCAGAGGACCCCUAAACUCUGUUUCUAUAUGUAACUUCUGAGUAAAACCAUAAAUAAAUCA
rnacentral:misc_RNA from 1 species